UCCCAGAUAGCUCAGUUGGUAAAGAAUCUGCCUGCAAUGCAGGAGACCCUGGUUUGAUUCCUGGGUUGGGAA
rnacentral:tRNA from 1 species